rnacentral:lncRNA from 12 species
AGAAGCCGAUGUAUUUGGGAUAGAGGAAGAGAAGAAGCUCCGACGGUGGGCGAGAAUCCGCUCCCCGGGGCUGCCCCCCUGGCCAGGGAGCUCCCCUGCACCUUUCUCCUCCCAGGGCCUUCUUGCUGCCCCGCCUUGUAUCCCCAGUCUCGGGGGACAGAUGCCCCUCGCCGCGCACCGGCCAGGUCUGGGUGUCGGGCGCAGCGGGAGUCCCUUGGAAGAGUUUGCUCUCAGGUGAAAGGACAGACGCUGCCCCCGCCCUCCCCUCGGGCUACGGCCGCAAAAGCGUCCCUUCCUUUCCGUGGGCUCAGUCCGCGGCCGAGAAGCGAGCGCGGGGGCCCGGUGUGUGACAAGGCGGGGACGGAAGGGCAGGCCCGGCACCAGCGGAGACCCGGGCGACCCGGGCACUGCUCGGGGCUCCCUCCUCUGCCUCUCGCUCCGGCCGCGCCAGGGCUGCCUUUGCCCCGUCCCCAACCCCGCCUGGCCGCUCGCGAGUCGGAGCCUGGCGCCCCCCGACCCCGACACGGUCCAGGCCCCGUUCCGGGCCAGCUACGGGGAGACCCCGACCCAGCUCCUUCCUCCUUCCAGGGGCCCCUUCCCGGAGGGCGCCCUCAGCCUCCGCGCCAUGUUCCUGCUCCUAAAUCUUACCCUCGUGGUGCGCUCCCUGGUCAUCACAAGAGCGACAUCUACUGGCGGGGGUUCCAGGGGGGGUGCAGGGGCGCGGAGGGGGCAGUGCCGCGACGGGGGACGCUCACUCACCGGAGGGCUGCAGGGGCCGGGGGCUGUCGUCCGCGCUCGCAGCGCCAGAGUCCGUCUCUCCCGCUGCGAUGCGGAGCCGCGGAGGCCAAGGGAGGCAGGAGGCGGCCGCAGCCGCUGAGCUGCUCCUCAAUUAUUCAGUUCGCCCCCCUCCUCCCCUCGCUCCGGGCGGCCUGUCAAUCCUCCCUCCAGCUCGCCCGUCUCCGCCUCCCGGGAGUCACGUGGCGGCCCAACCCCUCCCGUUAUUGA